GGAAAAUGGGACACCUCAGUUCCCAACUUUUAAUCUAACAGGAGUAUUGUUUCUUGUUGCAGAGUCUGGAUUGUUGACAUGGCAGUAGACGUCCAAACCCCUCAUGCUGUUUGGAGAUCUCUGGCACACUUGCUUGGUUUCUCACAAGAGACCACAUCGUUAGUUCAGUCCAGUGGGUACGGCAGACAACAAAUGGAGAUGGUGAUGCUGCUUUUUUCCAUACAGUGAAUGAAAAUGAC